rnacentral:rRNA from 1 species
AUUCAAGUUUUUCUGUUUGGAAUCAUCUUAGGCCUAAUUCCUAUUACUUUAACGGGAUUAUUUGUGACUGUGUUUUUGCAAGACAGACGUGGGGGUCAAUUGGAUGGUUUAGUACAAACCACACACUUAGCUCGGAGUCCAACAAGCAAUAAAAAAAGAUUGGACAAAUGGGACUAUCACAAUCUUCUGUAA